CCUACGGGUGGCAGCAGUGAGGAAUAUUGGUCAAUGGGCGAGAGCCUGAACCAGCCAAGUCGCGUGAAGGAUGAAGGAUCUAUGGUUUGUAAACUUCUUUUAUAUGGGAAUAAAGUGAGGAACGUGUUCCUUUUUGUAUGUACCAUAUGAAUAAGCAUCGGCUAACUCCGUGCCAGCAGCCGCGGUAAUACGGAGGAUGCGAGCGUUAUCCGGAUUUAUUGGGUUUAAAGGGUGCGUAGGUGGUUAAUUAAGUCAGCGGUGAAAGUUUGUGGCUCAACCAUAAAAUUGCCGUUGAAACUGGUUGACAUGAGUAUAUUUGAGGUAGGCGGAAUGCGUGGUGUAGCAGUGAAAUGCAUGGAUAUCACGCAGAACUCCGAUUGCGAAGGCAGCUUACUAAACAAUAACUGACACUGAAGCACGAGAGCGUGGGGAUCAAAAAGGAUUAGAGACCCUUGUAGUG
rnacentral:rRNA from 1 species